ensembl:snRNA U4 U4 spliceosomal RNA
AGCUUUGCGUACUGGCAGUAUCAUAGCCAAUAAGGUUUAAUCGAGGCGAAGUUAUUGCAAAUUGAAAACUUUUCCCAAUACCCCGCCAUGAUGACUUGAAAUAUAGUCGGUGUUGGCAAUUUUUGGCAGUCUCUACGGGGA